CUUGGUGACUUCUUUUUCUCCCCCUCUUGAAAAAAAAAAAAAAAGAAGAUCCUCUUUUUCAAUAUUUUUUUUUUGGUAAAUGUUUCUAUAUACAUCUAAACGGCAAGAUGAAUAUAUAUCUAUACUUCAGAAACUCAAAUGGCUGCUUUGGAAGUAAGCAAUAUCACCAACAAAAAUAUAGUUCAAUGUCUAAAAUCACACCAGUAUGCUUAAGUACUGAGAAAAUUUCUGGAUGAUGAAGAAGCUAAUGAAAAAAAAAAUAUGUAAGCAUGAACAUGCUAGGUAUGAAGAUAAAAGGUACAGAAAGAGCUUCUAAAGUGGGAUUUACAUAUAUUAACUUUGUAAUUGCAUACACAACAGGCAAUUACACAAGUAGUUAAUAAAAUAGUAGUAAUGAUUUGUACUAGGUAAUUGAAAUUUAUGAAGCAGUUUGGGUGUCUCUAAUAAAGCUGUGAUGUCCUCAAGUAGAGCUAAUGAGUAUGAUAGAAGUGACUAGCAUGGAUAAACACAAUUAGUGUUGCAUUUGUCAAACCAAGAUAGUAAAUAUUUUUUUUAAGUGUCUGAAUGUUAGUAUCAUCAUUAAUGUAGAUGGGAAACUGAGGCAGCAAUCUGUUUGUUACUGUUGAGCUGGGGUCUGUAGCUGGCACCCUGCAGAAGGAAGCUGAUUGCUCCUGGGUCUCAGUAUCUCUGUCUCUGCCUUUGAGAUGUGUGAAGAAAGGAGAUCUCUGAAUAAAAGUCCUGUAUCAUCAUGGUAUUGAUCCUAGCAGCCAGAGGAAUAAUUUGGCAGGCUACUAUUGGGAGGGAUAGCAGAAAACUCCGGGACUAAGCAACCAGGAGUUUCUUGAAUCAAGUGUGUCAAGUCUCCACCAACACUUAUCACCCUUAGGACAGCCACAGAGUGUGGGAAGGAUGGGUCUGGUUGCCAAAGCUCUGGGCACCACUCCCCUUUUAAAGCAAGAGAGUGGGAUUUGAAAGCCUGUGAGAGCAGAUUGAAUGGCAGUGCUCUUCCACCACUCUUCAUUUCUUGGAAAUUUCUGCAAUUUCUUUGGGUGCAGAGCUGGCUGGUGCUCAUUCACUCCAAAUGGGCUCCUCACAAAGGGAGUAACCUACUGUAAAGGUAUCAGAAAGCUUCACACAUGCACCUUUUCCUUGAGCUGCAUAUCUGGAAGGAGUUUGAGCUGUUAUGAAGGCAUUGAAGGGGGAAUGUUCUACACAGCAAGAAGGAGGGAGCAAAAGGUGGGGUUUGGUGGUUUUUGUUACAGGGUAUGCUGUAUUUCAAAAAUGACAAAAACAGAAGCAAGGGGCUGGUGGACUUGGGUGAGAUCAACUCUGAUCUAGUCACUGGUGCUGAAGAACCAAGAGAGCAAUUGGAUUGACACAAACUGGAAAUGAGUGAAGCUGUAUGUCAUGCCAGUUGACCUUCCCCCACAAAGGAUGCCCUAAACCAGUGCAAAUCAGGGACUCUUUUAGAUCCCCUUCCCUCCCCACACCCUACUGUUCUUCCAUGCUUCUUGGGAAACCCUGCUGUCUGCUGUGGGUGCUUCACUGAUGUGUCCUCAGCCUCUUCCACCGUGUCCAGCUCUGACAGCUGAUGCUCCUCCAGGCAGGGGGCAGAUCUCUCCUCUGUUUCAGGACCUGCUUACCAGCAAGAUGUUGCUACAGCUGGGACAGGAAGAGGGAAGCAGGGGUUCAGAUCUUUCUGAAAACUGGAGGAAGUAUCACAGUGCCUUUUGAUACAGUAAGAAAUGUGGUUCACUAGUUGGUGUUGUAAGUGGGCAGAACGCCUGCUUCGGCUUUCUUAGGCUAUCUCACACAGCCCUGUAAGAGGCUCAUGCUCAGACAGCUUUCUGUCCUGGACCUGCUGCAGGCUCGCUCGUACUGUAAAGGAUUCAGCUUUCUCCUGCUGAAUGCUCCAGCCUGUUUCCACACUGACUUCACCAGCCAGGCUCAAGUCUUCCUUGCCAUGUACAUACGGAACUGGAGCAGAAGCUUAAGACUGGGAGCCGUCUGCUGAAGGCUGCUUGGCUUCAUUCAGCACAAAGGCUUGCAAAAUACAGUACAAAGCCUUAUCUGGGGCCUGCAACUUCUCUCUUCAGCAGGUAAUAAAGAGGAUGGGAUGUGUCAUGCUGCUUCAAGGGAGUGCUGGAAAAAUAUUUUGCUUGAUAUCUUGAUAUAUUGUUUUUUCAUCCCUUCUCUCCACUUCCUUGUUUUAUCUACUCUCCAGGCCUUUUUUUUUUUUUUUUUUUUUCAUCUUAUGCACAAGCUGGCCCUGAGAAUUAGGGGAUGUCUGCCAGGGUGACAAGUUCAGUUCCUUCCCAAGCUACUCUCGUGAGCCUCGCUGUCUCUGUGGGGAUCACUCAAGCAGGAAGGAGUGAGGAGAAAUACUGGUGAGAAGGUUUGAAGAAGAGGAAAGACUUGCAGUAACAAAGAUGCUUUUGCUUUGACACAAACAAUUAUGAUCUCUUCCUGCUUGUUUCAUUUCUUAAUAAACAUCCUGCUCCCUGAACUGUGUACUCUCUGGACAGCAUGUCACUUAAUUAUUUUUCACUGGAUGGAAAAUCUGUCAUUCCACUAAAUUAAAAAUAGAGCUGCAAAUGGGCUUGG